UUUAUUUGUUCUGAAAAUUACUAGGAUGUUUUCAUUAGCUGUCCUGUAAAAUUGGUGACAAGAGCCCAUUUGAGAGAAUUCUAAUCUGAGAAGCCCCUCUUAAGUGUGAGUUAUAUUGGAGACUUAUGGCCUGAAAAAUAAAGAGUCCUCUUUUCUUUCUACAUAAUUAUGUUUGCAAAAUGUGAAGCACAGGGGCAGAGUGUGUAGAUUUUCAAAGCACAUAGAUGAGCUUCUAGAACAUGCAGGUAGAGAGAAACGUCUACCAGAAUCUUUGAAUUAGAAAAUGUUAUAUAUGAGAAUGGGGUGCAGGUCAUAAGAACAGCUAUUAAAUCCCUUAUGAAACUGGAGAGGAAGGAAGCAGCAUUUCUUUGCUUAAAGAGCUGACAAGACUGGUGAAGCUGAAGCUCAUGUUUUUGGAGAAGUGUAUGGGUUUUUGAUCCUUGAGAAGCAGAAAGAAUUUACUCAGGUUAAC
rnacentral:lncRNA from 1 species